CCUCUCCCAAUUCCAAAUUUUCUCUUCAAUUCUUAAAACUAUCAACAGUUAGACAGAUAGAAGCAAUUAUUUUCACUUUUCUUUCUGAAUUAUUAUACUACCUGUGUGUGUGUGUGUGUGUAUUGCCAGCUCUAUGUGAUAUACUCUCCUCUCUCUCUCUCUCUCUCUCUCUCUCUCUCUCUCAUCAUCAUCUUCAGGAAAAAGAAAAAACAGAGAUCUCAGAAGGUUUGAGCUCAAGAAAUCAAGGAGAAAAAUUCCUCAAAUUGGGUCUCAUUCACCGUAACGCCAAGUUUUGACUAUGGACUGCAUCAAUCAAAUCAAUUCCUAUAUCUUUUGCCAAGCCUACUGUAGAGAUCUCAAUGUACUCAUUCACACGUGUUCAAGAACUUCUCAACAGAAGUCCUCAUCCUCCCCAAAAAACAAGACCUAAUUUCAUCAGUCCCUGGACGGAUCAUUGAGUCACUCAAACCAGUCAAAUACAGACUCAAGACAAUUCUCUGUCCCCUCCGGACUCGCUGCGAUUGAACUAGUUGGAGGGAAAGAAAGUGCCAUUGCCCAAGUCAUAAGAACAAUCCCAAAUAAGUUUUACAACCUCACUUUCUCCAUUGGAGAUGCCAAGAAUGGUUGCACACAGAUCGAUGAUGAUUGAAGCUUUAGCUGCAAAAGAAACCCUAAAAGCUCCCUAUGCAUCUUAUGGAAAGAUGAGAGUGGGUUCAAGAAUGCAAGUUUCAAGUUCCAAGCAAUUUCAGCUAGGACAAGGCUCACAUUUUAUAGUUCAUUUUAUCACACUGAGGUUCAUGACUAUGGUCAAAUAUGUGGCCCAGUCUUGGACAAUGUUAGGGUUGUGAGGGUAUCUUAGUCAUUUUGAGUGGAUUUGUUUGCUAAUGUUCUGGCACUCAAAUGGGUUAUGAGUAAUUUUGGUAGCUGAGUAAUGGUCUAGAUAUAGGGGAUUGUAUGUAAUGAAUGGCCUUGUAGGUUAAAAGGGUCACGUGCGAGCCGUAUUGUAGUAUUUUUAUUUAU